UACGGAGGAUCCGAGCGUUAUCCGGAUUUAUUGGGUUUAAAGGGUGCGCAGGCGGGAGAUUAAGUCGGCGGUGAAAUUUUGCAGCUUAACUGUAAAAGUGCCAUCGAUACUGGUUUUCUUGAGUGUGGAUGAAGUAGGCGGAAUUUGUGGUGUAGCGGUGAAACGCAUAGAUAUCACGAGGAACUCCGAUUGCGAAGGCAGCUUACUAAGCUACUACUGACGCUCAGGCACGAAGGCGUGGGGAUCAAACAGGAUUAGAUAUCCGGGUAGU
rnacentral:rRNA from 1 species